rnacentral:rRNA from 1 species
CAGUCGCCGCGGUAAUACGUAGGGUGCAAGCGUUAAUCGGAAUUACUGGGCGUAAAGCGUGCGCAGGCGGUUAUAUAAGACAGAUGUGAAAUCCCCGGGCUCAACCUGGGAACUGCAUUUGUGACUGUAUAGCUAGAGUACGGCAGAGGGGGAUGGAAUUCCGCGUGUAGCAGUGAAAUGCGUAGAUAUGCGGAGGAACACCGAUGGCGAAGGCAAUCCCCUGGGCCUGUACUGACGCUCAUGCACGAAAGCGUGGGGAGCAAACAGGAUUAGAUACCCGUGUAGUCCCUGUCUCUUAUAU